rnacentral:lncRNA from 1 species
CACACACACACACACACGGACAAAAUAGCUACAGAGAAAAAAGGGACUGGGACUCAUCAGCAAGGCUAAAUUUAUGACAUUUAAGUGGAAUCACCUAAUGUUUACAUUCUAUACACACACAGUUUUCUAAGACACAUUUAAAUGUACAUUGGUUAAAUUCAACCGCACUGCAAUUAGUCAUGUGGCACGGCAGGAGAGCUCUCACACAGAAGAAAUUCCUUUGGGUUGAUUGACAGGCUCACUCUUUCACAACGAAUCAUUUUCGACAAUACCUUUGGUUCUCAUUUUUAAACUUGGAGAAAAUCUGAGAAAAUCUGAGAAAAUGUUUCGUCAUUAAAGAUAAUUAAAAUUAAAGAUUUAUAAUUAAAUAUUAGAAUUCGUUCUUUUGGUAGGU